UCUGAGCGCCAUUGCUACACCUUCCUUUGCCUCCAAAUGGAAAACAUGCUCAGGCACUAUUGUAAAAAGUUUCUCGGACAAUUCAAGUGCAGCAACUGCUGCCACCACAGUACCCGGACACGCUGCCGUAUCUGACUACCUAAGCAGUACGAUGCAGAUGCUCUGUUUCAUAACAACAAUAGAACACGGUUGAAGCCAGCAAUCCGUGCCAUUUUUCUGCAGCGACUCAUGAUCCUGUAACUGAGGAUAUCAUCGGCAGGAAAAAAAAAUGCCCCAACCAAAUAGCACUUUUUUUUCUUCUUUCUGAUAAGAACCAAACAGAGCAUCUUGGGCUUCUCCUCCCCGGCCCGACGCGAUCCCACACACCGCAGCGUUGCCACUCCCUUGUCCUGGUGAUGGCCCCCGCCGCCGAGCCGCUGACCCUACGGUCGAAGAGCGCGAAGUCGCCGGCGUACCUACCUCUCGGCUCCCUCCGGUGAAGCUCGAUUUCCUUCCGAACUCAGGUGUUCGCCCCCCUCGAAUCUCUCCGGGAGUGUUUAUGUUCCUCUUGCGUGGUUCGAAGCAAACACUCUGUGGAAAUGAGAACCCAUCCCCCAAAUCAACCGAAAGGAAAUCUCAUUGUGAAGCACGUGUUUCCCCCGAUACAUAUUGUAUUUGUAGAGCUGGAACUCUGAAUUUGGAGACGACGAAAUGGUAGGAUAGUAAAGGGGUGGAGUUUGAGUAAGAGGGCGUGAUAAUACAGAGUUCAUAUGAUCAACAAAGGAAAAGCUAAUUUGAUUUUAGAAGGAGCACUGAUGAGCUGAAACUUGUUCCACAUCUCCAGCAUGUCCGCGCGCUCAUGCUGUCUGGGUGCUCCUUGGCUGUAACACGAGCGUGCUCGACUUGCACCACCCCUGGGCGAUCUUCCUCGCGCCGCACCUGCCAGACAGCGUCCGCUUGAUGUUGUAAUCCUUCUCCUCUGGCACAUAUGGAAAGCGCGCAAUGCAAAAAUCUUGGAGAUAUAUCUUGUGCAAUCAAGCUUAUGGUGCAAUCACCGUGCAAUCCAACUAAAAAAAGUCUCAAAAAAUUCUGAAAAAAAAUCUUGAAUGUGCAUCUCAACCUACUUCAUCUAUAUAUACAAUUUCAGGGUCAAAUUCGUCCUCCUCUAGAAGUUACAAAAAAGACAAAUUUUCUGACAAAAGUAAUAGUUCAAAUGCAACCUAAAUUUGUCUUUUUUUUAACUUCCAGAGGAGGACGAAUUUGACCCUGAAAUUGUAUAUAUAGAUGAAGUAGGUUGAGAUGCACAUUCAAG